CUCCGUUUCGCCGAUAUUUCCCAACUCUCCGCCGCAAUUUCUUCUCGCGCUUUCUCGCAUUUCUUUGUUUUUGCCAAAGUCUCCCUUCUAUAAGGUAAGGACUCGCGAGACUGGGGAUAUCUCCUUUCCUGAAUUAUUUCUCGCCCUCUCCUCUCUCUCGCUAGUCGCCGGCACGUGACGGAACUGUCGCGACAGAGCGGGGGUUUUCGUACGACAAGCAGCGACUGGACGAGCACAGCGUAAACGAAUAGGACUUGCGAAGUCAUGAAAAGGAAAAGAGAAUAACUGGGCGUUGCGACGUAUGAAAGAAGAUAUCAAGCACUGACAUACGCGCGAUUCUGUUCGGCUGACUCGGUCGAGACGGUUCCGUCUCGGUGAAGAGUGUGGUGUAUCUUUUUCUUUUAUCUGGUAACACGUGCGUGGUAGCCGCCGGUGGAAUCUGAGACUACGGGUCAUUGCCGACCGUCGGGUUGUCAUCGGAGGCCGUCGUCUAGUGCCCUAUAUUUUUUUUCGCUGUCCAUCGCCUCAGUCUUCGUGGGAAAUUAGUGUCGUAGCAUCGACUGAAGGAGGCUGAGAGCAAAUCAACUAUGACGACGCCAUACGCCCUUCACGGCGUGCUGUUGCUGCUGGCGUUAGGAAGUGGAAGCGCCCAGCAGCUCGGUAUCCUAAGCAACCCGCUGGGUUCGUUGACCAACACGGGCUCCAGUCUGAACCCGGUGAACUUGGGCACGCGAGCCUGGGACCAAACGUUCGGAAAGAUUACCAACACUUCGGCUUCGGAUAUCAGCAGGCAGCUGACUGAGAACGCCAUCCCGGGAGUUCGUCAUCGAGUGAUCACCGAUGUGCCUCUGGGGGGACACGUACUUGCUGAAAUCUUCCAGAAUUCUUCCGGUCAUGUUAUCGACUGCAACCUGCUCGGUGACAAGGCUCUUAUUGAAGGCGUCCUCGUAGUCCUGCCCGAAAGCCUGGUAACAAAGGUGACACCCGAAGAAAUGAAUCAGUUUCUGGACCUAUGCGGCACGCGGGAGAACUUCGCCAGCAAGCAGAAAUCUGCAUUUGACUACAUCGGCGACGUAUUCAAGAGCCUGUUCAUAUUCCCAGGCACAAAAUGGUGCGGCGCUGGUAACGUGGCCAAGAACUACGACGACCUGGGACCUUCCAGGGCCACCGAUGCUUGCUGCAGGGAACACGACCACUCCGACGACAACAUCCCGGCUUUUCAGGCUAAAUACGGCAUCAGAAAUACGAACCUUUACACUAUGACUCACUGCAAGGGUGACCGUAAGUUCUACGGCUGCCUUCUGAAUGACAGCAGUAUCCCAUCUGUCACCGUGGGAAAGAUAUUCUUCAACAUUCUGCGGACCAACUGCUUUGACUACACAUUUCCCAAGAAGUGUGUCCAGAACAAUGCAUUCUACAUUCCUCUAAUAACUGAAAAGUGCAGCGAGUACAGGCUGGAUCCUGCCGAACCAAAGGAAUGGCAGACCUUCUCGCCCCCGAACUUCUGGAAAGACUACUUGGCCCGCAAAAAAGAACAAGCCAACCAACCGAAACAACCAGUCAGUCCCCCGAGCCCUGGACAGGACGGCGGCACUGUGUCGGUCACCACGGAGGAGCCCGAGGAAGAACCGGAAGAGGAACCCAUCGUGGACGCCGAACCCGACAACUGGAAGAAGUUGGACCCUGCCGACUACAGCCUCGACGCUACCGAAGAACCCGUGUUCGAAGAGACGACGCCGAGGCCGGCAGCUUCGCGUUCGUCCGGAUCGAGGCCUACAGGAUUGAACCUCGGAGGCCUUAACGUUGGGUGAAAGUACGGACACACACCGCAGGGUACAACUGUGCCACUCUAAGAAAAGUUUGCACUCUUUGCGGCCUGUAUUCUCUCGAGCGAAUGAUCAUCUAUCUAUAUUGCCUGUCUUUCCUUUGAUUAACUCUACGCGUCCGGUACGUCUUUGCCCCGAAUGACAUAUGCGUUAUUACCGCUUCGUAACAUUUUUGACGGAAAAGUACCGAGCGCGUAGUUUUCAAGAAGCGAAAGGCAAGCAAGCCGGGUGGUGAUUACUGUUCGGGGACGAGAUACUCCGCAAGUGGUGCAAACUUUCACUAGAGUGUGGCGUUUUGUUAUCGGUCACUUAGCUGCUUACUACGCAACUCAGCAACCGCAUAAUGGUCCGGCUGCUAUAGGCUACGAAGCUGCCACGUGUCAUCGCUACGAGAGUCGCCUGUAACAUACAAAUAUUUUAGGAUGCGCGUUUUCGCUUGAUAGCGGCUGUCAGUAUAUGAGAGGGACAUGCAAUGAAUGGGUGUUAGAUGAUGAAGAAAUUAGAAGUGUCUAAGAAAUAAACUCUUAAUACAUGU
rnacentral:misc_RNA from 1 species